rnacentral:lncRNA from 1 species
UCAAUCUCUGACACGCUGAGAAGAAAAAAUAAUAAGUCAAAUCCGUCCAGCCAGUCUGAACGAGAGAGGGAAGGAGGUGAUAUCUCCCUCACCUGAAUAGGAGAAAGAGGGAAAGCGAGAGAGAGAGAGAGAAUAGUGAGAGGGGGUGAGAGAAAGUGAAUGAGAACAAGAGAUGGAGAGGUGGGAAAAAGUGAGGGAGAAGACAGGGAGACAGAGAGAGAGUGUGUGAGUGAAAGACAAAGCGAGGGAGAAGACAGGGAGACAGAGAGAGAGUGCGUGAGAAAGACAAAGCGAGGAGGAGAGAGAAUGAUAGAAAAAGAGGGCAAGAGAAAGAGAGCAGUCUGAUGAAUUGAGACAGAGCCGACUGACCGCAGGUCAUUAAGCUGCCAUUGGACUGAGCAGUUAUAUACCCUCAUCACCCACAGCCAAUGAAGUCCAUUCAGCCAGCCUUCAGUCAGGACUCUGGGAGCCCGCCUGGACCAGUGAUCUGGAAUGGCCUCCUCAGCCUCCUAUGGAGACCUGGAGAACAAGAGACAUGGAGGCAGAGAGACCCCAAGUCUCCCGGCUCCUACGUCCUGAACCCCUACUGCUCCUGCUGCCCCCUAGCAUCCUCGUCUUUACUGAGACCUCCCCUGUAGACACUGGACUGCACACAGGUACUACUGCUCCUGCUGCCCCCUAGCAUCCUCGUCUUUACUGAGACCUCCCCUGUAGACACUGGACUGCACACAGGCACCUCCGGCUUCCAACACGACGUACAAGAUGUGAGCUCUCUCCAGGUCUACAGGCACAUUACUGAUCCCAGUAGCUCCUUACAUCUUGAAAUAUUGAAUGUGUUUCCCGAUAUACAUAAUAAUGAAGUGGUAAAGAAAAAAGCUCCCUUCUGUCCCUUUACUCCACUUCUCCCCCUUUCUUUUAACUCCUAUAAGCGCCAUUGCUCCCUUUAUCUAUCGUUCUCAGCCUUCAUGUUUGCUGAUACUGUAGCAUUCAC